rnacentral:rRNA from 1 species
AUUAUGGCUCAGGAUGGACGCUAGCGGCAGGCUUAACACAUGCAAGUCGAGGGGCAUCGGGAGUAGCAAUACUUGCCGGCGACCGGCGCAAGGGUGCGUAACGCGUGAGCAACAUGCCCGUAUCAGGGGGAUAAUCCAUGGAAACGUGGUCUAAUACCCCAUAGUAAUUAUGUAAGGCAUCUUAUAUAAUUUAAAGCUUUGGUGGAUACGGAUUGGCUCGCGUGACAUUAGCUGGAUGGUAAGGUAACGGCUUACCAUGGCUACGAUGUCUAGGGGUUCUGAGAGGAAGGUCCCCCACACUGGAACUGAGACACGGUCCAGACUCCUACGGGAGGCAGCAGUGAGGAAUAUUGGACAAUGGAUGGAAAUCUGAUCCAGCCAUGCCGCGUGCAAGGAAGACGGCCCUAUGGGUUGUAAACUGCUUUUGUAUGGGAGCAAUAAGGGCUACGUGUAGUCCGAUGAGAGUACCAUACGAAUAAGCACCGGCUAACUCCGUGCCAGCCGCUGC